rnacentral:rRNA from 1 species
GUCGUCUGUGAAAACUCGAGGCUCAACCUCGAGCUUGCAGGCGAUACGGGCAGACUUGAGUACUGCAGGGGAGACUGGAAUUCCUGGUGUAGCGGUGAAAUGCGCAGAUAUCAGGAGGAACACCGGUGGCGAAGGCGGGUCUCUGGGCCGAUACUGACGCUGAGGAGCGAAAGCGUGGGGAGCGAACAGGAUUAGAAACCCU